rnacentral:rRNA from 1 species
UACGAAGGGGGCUAGCGUUGCUCGGAAUUACUGGGCGUAAAGGGAGCGUAGGCGGACAUUUAAGUCAGGGGUGAAAUCCCAGAGCUCAACUCUGGAACUGCCUUUGAUACUGGGUGUCUUGAGUGUGAUAGAGGUAUGUGGAACUCCGAGUGUAGAGGUGAAAUUCGUAGAUAUUCGCAAGAACACCAGUGGCGAAGGCGGCUCACUGGCCCAUAACUGACGCUGAGGCACGAAAGCGUGGGGAGCAAACAGA